CAGCAUAGUUCCCAGGCUAGGGCUCAAACUGGAGCUACAGCCACCAGCCUAAGCCACAGCCACAGCAAUGACAGAUCCGAGCCAUGUCUGCGACCUACACUGUAGCUCACCAUAGCAACGCCGGAUCCUUAACCCACUGAGCGAGGCCAGGGACCGAACAUGAGUCCUCAUGUAUACUAGUCAGGUUCAUUACCACUGAGCCACAACAGGGAAUCUGACAAGUUUACAUCAAAGGCCUAUUCAGGAUCAUUUUCAGAUUCACUGUGAUUUCUUGACUAGAAUGCAAAGAGCCCCUUGUGACAGUUAUGUGUAUGGAGGCACAAUUUCUACUAGGACUCUUCAAAUAACCCUGUGUGUAGCCAUCACUGCAGGACCCAUCGGUUCUCUCUGGCUUCAUGCAGGACUCCAAGCUUUAUGCCAAAGUUCGACACGCCAGCAUCUCCUCCCAGCCCCCUGGCAAAAGCACCAUGGUUACUGCUGUGCCACACAAUUCCACCAUCAUGAUGUGGAUAUUCAAGAGCCAAUGAACACUCCCAUGAGUAAGCAUACAUUUUUUUUUCUAAAAUUGCAAACAGCAGCAUAUCAGGAUUGCUACCAUUGGUAAAAAUACUAUCAUUUCUUAUCUGAUUACCUGAAAAAAUCCACAUGAUAAGUAAAUUUAGUCAAUCCGAACAGAGACCUAGAUAUGAGAAGAUGCAAUGUCUGCUGGGAAAGGUGCACAUCAUUACCUACCCAGACAAAGAAAUGUCCCCAGAGAAUGACCAUCAGAAUGAAUAUUCAUCUCUUGGCAGAACCUGAAAAGCACAUUAUGAUACACGUAUAAAAGGACAUAGCUUACUCUACUAGGACACUUGCAAACAAGCUCCGUCAUUGACAGCAUUAUGAUCAACUCUACUUGAAUAUUUGCAGUUCUCCUAGGGCAUGACCCUUGUCAGGAAAUAACACUUCUUUACAAGAUACCUGCAGAAAUUCCAUGAUCACUACUGUGCUUGAGCAAUCAUAAUCAAUACCUGCUAUGUGUAAUUGCUCAUGAGUCACAGAGUUAAAGAUAUUCUCUAAAGCAUGAAAACUGAAAGUUCAUGGUAUUAAGAACUGGUAAGGAAUCAACCAUUACCUGAAUACCUGCAGAGAAGCCAUGGUAACAAGUGACAGGGUCACAAUCAUCACAAACCUGGACCCCGACCGUGUCCCCUGUUAACAUUAAUGCUCAGUUCAGAGUGAUGUGUGGACACAAACCUGUAAAAGAUAGGAAAUGUGUCCUUUCUACCUACACAUCUUGGUCACGUCACCAUUAUGAGACACAUCAACUCUACCUGGUUACUUGCAGUAAUUCAAGGUCAAUACCAAUGUUGGAAAGCCAAAUCUGAUAACAUGCCAAAAACAAAGUAAAUAUAAAAGACUGAUCAUGAAUCACGUAGCCAUCGGAAUAUAACAAUGUCUUUAAUUAGUGAAUAUCCCCUCAUCUCAUCCUUGUGUGACAAGGAAAGAUCUGAACCUGACACCUGCAAAAAGAAGACAUGAACACAAAUAUUAGGGACACCAUCCUCAUUCACCUAGACCCUGAAGUUCAGAUGGUGUGCACUGUGGUGAGACCCACUUUCACACUUACCUGGUUACUAGAAAGCUUUUGUUAGUCAUCACACUGCUAGGUUUACCCUGUUGUCUUAACAGGAUCCUGAAGAAAUACAUGCAACAAAUCUGUGUAAGACAAACACUGUUCUACCAGGACACCUGCAUCUAACCGUGUGCACCUCCGUUAUCAUGGAACACAUCAUUGCUACCUGGAUCUCUGCAUUCAUUCGAGGUCAACACUGCUGUCAGAAGAGAUCAGUAUCACUUUCCUGGAUUCCUGUAAAAAUCCAAUGGUUACAACAGUGAGGAGACUUCACAACAACUACUGGGAACAUAACUGACUCCUCAAUACUUACAAGAUAAAACAUAUUUUCACUAAAAUACACAAAGCGUAAACUCAUGGUUAUUGGAAUUAGUAUGAACUCUUAGUAUUUCUCAGCUGAAUACCUGCAAAAAAAUCUUUUUAAGAAGAAGUGUUAGGAAGGCAAGCAUAUUCACUUACCCACAUACAUGAGGCAGAGAUGGUCUAUGAUGUGGGUUAGGCCCACACCAUCACUCACCUAGAUACCAGCAACUUUAACUACAUUGAGAUGCUUACCAUCACGAACCCGAAGACGCAUUUAGAGGAUGUGCUUGAAGUACAUAUCAUUCUAGUGUCCACCUUCAGAUCCCUUUGUUCCACUGCAUAACUGUGAGACUCAUCACCAUUACCUGGACUAAAUCUUAGUAAGAGAUGCCUUCUUCUCUUGAAAGGCUACCUCGAAAUUCUACGGUCUAUAUUGCGGUGAUGAACAGUAUGAUAAAUUUCCUGGAUAUCCGCAUAUCCUUUUGUCAGUAGAGGUGGGUAAAAUGCUAUUCUGGAACUCGAAUAUAGGAAAAUAUUAUGCUUACGAGUAUGUUAAUGACAGAUUAAUAGCUUUACUGCAUACAAGCCAAAAAUAUAGUUAAUAUAGUUAAGUGUAAGAUAAACUAUAAAGUGUCUGCAAAAUAUCAUUUAUUCCUUAUCUAUCUGAAAAUACCUUCAUACUAGCAAACACUUUAACAGGGUACCUGCAGGAAAAAACACAGUAUCACUGUGUCUGGUGUUAGGGACAUCAUCCUCACUUACACAGACAUCUGAAGACCAGAUGGUCUAUAUUGGGCUGCAAGACCCUCAAUAUCACUUACCUGGUUACUAGCAGGGUCCCAUUGAUGACCAUUCCUAGGUCUGCUAUAGGGUCAUCACUACUAUAACAUGUAAGAACACAACUGACAAGGGUUUUAAGGAAAAAAAUGUUUUACCUGAAGAAUACACGUAAUUACUUCUGGUUAUUUUUCUAUCAUCAGGGGAAUCCUUGAUACUCUGUGGAUCUUGAAAGAUCUUCAAGGUCAACAUCACUACCUACGUAUCUGAAGAAACGACGGUAUCUAAUGAAUUAAUGUCACAUCAUCUCAUACCUGUACACUAGACAAAGAAAGUAAUGGGAAACCUACAAAAAAGUGUGGUGCACUGUGUUAGACACCAUUCUUACGUGCUCGAUAACUGAACAUCUAAUGAUCUGUACUGGGCUGUAAGCCACCUUUUCACCAACCUGGUUUCUAACAAGGUCCCACUGACAACUAUUAUUUGGUUAAUUAUAUUCACGAUGCUGACUAGAACCUUGAGAAAUGCAUUAGACAACUGUGUUAAAGGACAUUCUUAUUUAUCUGCCAAAUAAGUACCUUUGAAGAUAAUCUUGCUUGCUUCCAUCAUUAGAGGAGCAUAUGCACUAUAUGAACCUUGGAAGAACUUUAAGGUCAACACCAUUGUGAGGCACAGUAUCAUCUCUUCUAGGAGAAUCUGUAGAAAUGUCAUGGUUAACACUGCAAAAGUAGAAUAAAUUACCUGGACCUGAAUAACCCUCUGUUACUACUAAGUUUAAAUACACACUAUAUCAAAAAUCUUAAAAAAAAAAAAAAAGGCAAAUACAAGCACUAGUUGUGACUAUGUCAAUUUUCUUUUUUUUUUCCAUUUUUUAAAGUUUUACUGAACUAUAGUUGAUCUACAAGGUUGUGAUGGAAAAUGCCACUUCUUAAAUGAAUAGCUGCUUAAAUAAAACAAGAUGGUAACAGAAUAAUUAGGAACACCCUCCCUCAGACCUACAUAUCUGAAGAUCAUAUUAUAGGUGCUAAAUGCCAUAGGAACACUUAUCUGGAGAGAAGCAAAGUUCCAUUCAAGAUCAUUUUGAGAUUCACCAUGACUUCUUGACCAGACUGUAAAAAGCCCUUUGUGACAGAUAUGUCUAUGGACGUACCUUUUCUACCAGGAAAUUUCAAACAGCCUUAUGGGUGGCCAUCACUGCAGGACCCAUCGGUUCUCCCUGGAUUCAUGUAGGACUCCAAGAUCUAUGCCAAAUUUAGACACAGCAUCAUCUCUUCCCAGCUUACUUGCCAAAGCACCAUGGUUACUAGUGUACCACACAAUUCCACUGUCAUGGUGUGGAUACCCACCAGCCACUCAACACUCCCAUGACUAAGCAUACAUUUUCUCUAAGAUCACAGACAGUAGCAUAUCAGGAUUGCUACAACUGGUAAACAUACUAUGAUUUCUUACCUGACUUCUUGAAAAUAAAACACAUGGUAAAUAAGUUUAUUCAAUCCUAACACUGACCUAGAUAUGAGAAGAUGAGAUGUCUGUUAGGGGAAGGUGCACAUCAUUACAUACCUGGGCACAGAAAUGUCCCCAGAGAACAACCACCAGAAUGUCUCUCUCUUGACAGGAACCUGAAAAGCACAUUAUAACAUAGGUGUAAAAGACAGAGCAUGCUCAACCAGGAUACGUGCAAAAAACCUUGGUCAUUUCCAUCAUUAUGAAAUCAACUCUACCUGAAUAUAUGUAGUACUCCAAGGUCAAGACCGUCAUCAGGUAAUAACAUUUCCCAUAAGAUACUUGCAAAAUUUCCAUGGUCACUACUGUCCUUGAGCAGUCAUGAUAAACACCUGCUAUAUGUAAUCGCUCAUGACUCACAGAGUUAAAGAUGAUCUCUAAAACAUGAAAACUGGGAAGUUCCCAUUGUGGCUCAGUGAUAACGAGCCCGACUAGUAUCCACAAGGAUGUGGGUUUGAUCCCUGGCCUCGAUCAGUGGGUUAAGGAUUGGCAUUGCCAUGAGCUGUAGUUUAAGUCAUAGACACAGCUUGGAUCCUGAGUUGCUGUGGCUGUGGCUCUGAUUCGACUGCUAGCCAGGGAACUUCCAUAUGCCAUAAGUGUGGCCCUAAAAAGCAGAAAAAAAAAAAAAA
rnacentral:lncRNA from 1 species